rnacentral:lncRNA from 1 species
AUGGAAUCAUCACUUAACUUCCCUUGCAGGGUAUUUAAUACAGAAGAACCAGCUCCUGUGCCUAUCAAAAAUUCCAGUUUUCCACUUCCCAGUGUGGCUGUUACCACAGGCUCUGCUGGGGAUGAAACCUCUGCUCCCCUCCACAGGUACCCAGCCAUUGGCAUGAGGGGGUUUGGAGAAGUCCUGGGUUUUAGGCAGAUGAGAUAUAACCGGGACAAGCCCCCACAGUGCUCUCACCCUGGUGCUUGCACCCCGGUGCUCACACCCCCAGCGUGGAGCUGCUCAUUCCCAGCCUUGUCCAGGCAGAUGAGAUAUAACCGGGACAAGCCCCCACAGUGCUCUCACCCUGGUGCUUGCACCCCGGUGCUCACACCCCCAGCGUGGAGCUGCUCAUUCCCAGCCUUGUCCAGAGUGAACCAAGAGAAAAGGACAAGGGAGACGAGAAAGAAGGACAUGAUUCCGUUACUUGGUACAGUAACUGCCUGCGUGGCUGAGAAAGGUUUGGAAAUGUUGUUCAAUGAAUUAAGAAGGAAGAAAACAGAAAGUGCAUGGGCCCCAGAAUCCAUGUUGAAGAAGGAAUACCAGAACCUGUCCCACAGAGUUGAAACUCUGGAAAAAGAUUUACAGGGAGGUCUGGAGACCAUAAAGCAUGAGUUUAAGGAUCUCAGAGCAGAGCUGCAGAAGAACCAAGGAAAUAAGGAGGAGGAUAUUGCAUAUCCUCUGGAAUCCUUCUUGAAGAAGAAAAACCAGGAGCUGUCCCACAAAGUUGCAUCUCUAGAAAAAGAAUCCCAGGAGGGUCUGGAAGCCAUAAAUCAUGAGCUUAAGGAUAUCAGAGCGGAGCUGGAGAAGAACCAAAGAAAGAAGGAAGAGGAUAUUGUAUUGGCCCUGAAAUCCUUCUUGAGGAAGAAAGACCGGCAGCUCUCCCAUAGAUUUGAAACUCUUGAAAAAGAUUUCCUUGAAGGUCUGGAGACCAUAAAGCAUGAGCUUAACAAUGUCAGAGCAGAACUGAAGAAGAAUCAAGUAUAUACGGAAGAGGAUAUUGCAUUUGCCCUGGAACGCAGGUUGAAUGAGAAGAUCCGGGACCUCUCACUUAAAACCCAGACUCUGGAAGAAGAUAUAAAGGAUUGUCUGGAGUGGAUGAAUCAUAAGCUUAAGGUUCUGAAAGCAGACCUGAAGAAGAAGAAAGGCAAUAAGGAAGAGGAAAGUGCAGAGGACCUGGAAUUUAAGCUGAACAAGAAUAUCCUGCUACUCUCCCAUAGAAUUAAAACUCUGGCAGAAGAUUGAAAUGAUUCGCCAAAAACCAUUAUUCAUGAGAUUCAAGAUGUCAUAGCCGGGGUGCAGAAGAACCAAAGUAAGCAGGGCCAUUGCUAAUUAGACUUUCAUCCAUGUGAAGGCAGAAGCUGUUCUACAUUGCAAGCACCCUGUGAGCUCAUCCUGCUCAGCUCCUCAGAGGCCAUGGGCAGGGACAGUCCUUCCAUGGGGAACAGCUUCUGUGGUCCAUGGCACUGAAACACCUCCAUGCUGAAGUGUUCUCUGCAGGUGCAGGUGCACAAAGUCCCUCUUGUGUCCCUCAUCAUUGCAGAGGAUGUGUGCUGGGAGUUCUCUCAUUGCCAGAGACUUACUAAGGGUUCCCCCUUGCAGUCCUGUUCCCGUCUCUCUCCCUUUCCUCACUGCCCUUCUGGUGCUCCCCCUCUGGUGGUGCCGUGCUGGGACCCGUGUGAGAUCAACCUUGUUUCCCUGCUACUGAUGAGCAGGGAGAGGAGGUUCCCUGAGCAGAGGCUGGCCGUGUCUGUGAGCGCAGGGCCUGCGGAGAGCAACUGUGCCUGCAGGAGCUGGUGCUGGGCAGGGGAAGGAGUCAGCUGGGGCACAGACUGCAAUGUGGCCUGGCUGGCCCCAACCUGUGGCCCUGGGCCUGGCUCAGGCUGGACACAAAGUGUGUUGGGAACAGCCUCUUGCCCCAGGGCAGGGAAAGCUGAGGAAGGAUCGACCUUCCCUGACUCUGGGGCCUGUUCUUGCUGCAGCUGCAGCCUGCGAAGCCAAGGCAAGGGGCAACCCAGAGCAGGCCAGGGAAAAACCCCUGGAAUUCCUGCAGGCUCAAACCAUUGUGGGCUUAGAAUUAAGCCUUUGACCCCCUUUUAAAAGCUGGAACUCUAUUUCUUUGGCUCCAGAAAGCAGAAAUGAAAGGUUGAAAAGAGUUGAAUAUUUGCUCUGUGUUUCUUGUCUGCUCCCUUCUAAAAGUCUGACGAUAAAGGGAAAAUCAUUUCUACAUUGUGCCUUCAUGACCUGAUGGAUUUCCUGUGAGUUGAGGAUUUCUAAGGGGGUACAAGGGAGGAAAAAACCACCCACAGGAGAGCCAUGAGGAGAGACCCUGUGUCAGAGAGGUUAAAUCAGAGGCUUUGGGCCCACUUGUGUCAGAUAGGUGGUUUCCUGCUCAAGGGGGAAACAUCCCUGGCCUAAUGAUAUUGUUCUUUCUUCACAGGAAACAAGGAGUAGGAAAGUGCAUGAGCCCUUGUGGGAACAGAUGACUUCUGGACAGCAAAUCCAUAUGAUUAUGCAUAGGCUAAUUUAUUGUUUACUUUUAACCGUACAUGUGCAUUCUAAAACUACUGUUCACGCUGUCACACAUUUUUUGAUUGGUGUUUCUAUCUUUUCCGUGUGCCGUGCACGGGUUUUGUAGGUUAAAUGAUUGGUUGAAGUCCAGAGCAUCAACACCCACCUUCAUCUUGUCUCUUCGAAUCUUGGUCUUCUGUUUUUCAGCUACUUCUCUCUCAGUUUAGCACAAUUUAUGUUUCAGUAGCCUUGAAGAGUUCCAGAAAGUUUGAUUGACUGCAGCAAAGCACCUAAAAAUGGCUCCUCCAGUGUACCUGUUUUAAGCAAUAGUCUAAAGAAAAAAAUGUAGAAAAACAGAUAAAUAUAGUUUCGCUGGUGCACUUGAUACAGCUGAUGGCCUAAACUGUUCAGAUACAUUGCUACAAGCCCUGGAAUGCAGCAUGGAGAUGAUAGUCCACCAACUUUUGCCUCAAGCUGUGAAUUGAAUUCAAGCUAUGGUACUGUGGAAGGGGCUGACAGCUGUUCUUUGAGCCAGAGUUAACUGAUAAGGUUUACUUCUGAAAGCAGUUUUACCAAGGCCAUUGGCAUGGAGAAGAGAAGAAGAAGAUGUGAAAGUUAUUUGAAAACAGUGGUGAAGACUGCUUUGCAACAAUGAGCGUUGUGUUGAUCAGUUGUAACCAAUGAAUAAAGUGUAAACUUCGUGUAGUGUAUAAAACACAGAACGCUGUUGUAAUAAACAGAAAGUGUCCUUCUGAAGUGUGCUGCAUCCCUCCCUUUGUGUGAUAUCCCUCUCAACAGCAACAUGAUACAAGAGUUACAGGUGAGACAGUGAUACCUACAGAGGCUGAUCUGGAAUAGAGGCUAGACAGAGUUAAAGUCAUAAAGUAGUUAUUUAAAGGAUACACCUUGGGCAGUACAAGAGCCUGGCUGUGGCUCAAGUUGC